CCUACGGGUGGCAUCAGUGGGGAAUAUUGGGCAAUGGGCGCAAGCCUGACCCAGCAACGCCGCGUGAAGGAAGACGGCUUUCGGGUUGUAAACUUCUUUUUUUAGGGACGUAGAAAGUGACGGUACCUGAGGAAUAAGCCACGGCUAACUACGUGCCAGGAGCCGCGGUAAUACGUAGGUGGCAAGCUUUAUCCGGAUUUAUUGGGUGUAAAGGGAGUGUAGGCGGGAGCGUAAGUCAGAUGUGAAAACUCAGGGCUCAACCCUGAUCCUGCAUUUGAAACUGUGUUUCUUGAGUGCAGGUGAGGCAAGCGGAAUUCCGUGUGUAGCGGUGAAAUGCGUAGAUAUACGGAAGAACACCAGUGGCGAAGGCAGAUUGCUAGACAGUAACUGACGCUGAGGCGCGAAAGCGUGGGGAGCAAACAGGAUUAGAUACCCUAGUAGUC
rnacentral:rRNA from 1 species